UCUCAGCUUCUGCUGGGAGCUUCUACAGACAGCUGGGUGCAAGCCGUGAUCUGCACAGAAUAGGAGCUACAAACAAAUUUUCUUUGGUUGUUCUGCUUCUUGAUUGAGAUACCACUUGAGAUGGCCCAAGCACUGGAGCCUCAAGUCUUAAGAAUAAACAUUGAAUUCUCGUAUGUGGUGAAAGCCUGGAAGGAAGAAACAGGGAGGAAGAGAGCAGAAAGUAAAAUGGCAGAUAUGGAACAUUCCAACGAUCCACUGGAACACAAAAUUUUAACGUACAGAUUUAUGCAAGAGGGAUGACUGCAAAGUGCAUUGCAUGAGUAGUGUAAGAAGCUGAAAAUUGCUGCUGUUGUAGCUGUCAUACGCACGUUAUUUUCUUUGGUAUGUGUGGAGAUUUUGCUGUCAGGCUUUUAUCCUCCAGAUUGUUUGUGCUGUACCUCUCUUCCUGCUUAAAAUAGAAAAUCAGUCACUGAACCUGGAUGCUAUUAAGUAAGUGUUCUUAGAAUAGUUCUUAACUAAGUUGGUUGAUUUUCACUUUCUGAUGAAAGAACAUUUGGUUGUUUAUUGCAGGCUCUAAAUAAACAUGUUUUUCCAAAAUCAACAGAUAAGAUUACAAAUUACAUUCCAUCAACAGAAUUGUUUACCAUAGGUAUAUUCCUUGCCAUAUAAUAUUUAUCUUUUUAGUUGUUAUGUUUUUUAUUUUGAAAGAUCUCGAGUUUAUCUUCAUCUAACAUUGUGUCUUAACUACGUUUUGCAGGGGUUAACAGGGAAUGUGGAUGUUUUAUGGACCUCAGAGGAGGAGGGGGGCAACAAAUAAUCUUAUGUGUUUGGUAGGAUUGUUAUUUUAAAUCCAGCCCGUUACCCAGCCUUUUUGCACCAGCUUUUUAUCUGACAUUCCCUACUGGCCCAAAACAAUAUAUUUCAUAUACCUCCAAACAUAAAAAUCUUUUCAGGUUGUUAUAGUCCCUUGUCCCCCUGGAAUUUACAGAUUCAUCCUUUUUCAGGAAGCACAUACGACUGUGGUCUGAAAUGCUGGAGUACUUGAUUUCUUGGAAAGAUAAAGUUGUCCUUUGCUUUUUCAAGCUUUUCCUCUUUGCUCUGUAGAUAAGUUCUUUAACUGCAAAAAUAUUUUUAUGAAAAAAACCAGACUUGUUAAUGUGUAUGCUAUUUCAUCACACUGUUGUUUAGUUCUGGCUGGUAUUUUGCAGAAGACCAGAGUGUGGUCAUAGUGAUAUCAGUUAGCCUCAACAUUUUAUUUAUGUAAAUGAUAAGGGAAAAAAUGUCCAGUUCAAGAAAGCAGAGAUGAUUCUUGCUUAGUAGGAUAUUAAAGCAUUACUGUCAUUAUUAUUUGUUCUUAUUUCUCCAGAGGAUCUGGGUCUUGAUUAUGAUUCCGUUGUGGUAAGUGCCUCUAUCAAUCACAGAGAGAUCAAGUCCUUGCCUGAAGAUGUGCAUAUAAAGAUACUCCAUACAGCAGCAUGCCUUGAAGGAGCUUGAUGGUAAUUUCACAGAUGCCAAAUAUAUUAAUGUGAGUUCAGGUAGACUGGCACGUUUCUGAAGUCUCAGGUAUUUCAAAAUAAAAACUUCUAUUUAUUUAUUUAUUUUAAUUAUUACUGUGAUUCUCACAGGAAUAACUGUGAUGCAGAAACAAAAGACUUGCCUGACUUUUAGAUCUGCAAAUUUCUGAACUUUGAAUAAUGUCCUUUUAUAUGUUGAGUAGGGUUGUGUGGGAAUUCUAUGUUAGGUGCUUUCAUCAAAGAAAUGGAAAAUUUAUAAUGAAUCCUUGCCACUAGUGCAAUUUACUUAUUAAUUUACUGAGGAAUCAUCCCUUAAUCUGAAAGUCAUAAAAUUUAAAUAAAAAAACUUUUAAUAUUGAGAAUGGACCCAAUUGCCCUAUAAGCAGCUGAUAAUUUUGAAAGGCUGUUGGCCACAUAUACCCAUGCACUACCUUCCCUCACUUUCCUUUCAUAAAAAUAAUGAGCAUUGCACUAAAUUGCAAAUAUGCUUUUGUCUUUUGCUCAAUCAAAAGAGUAAGAGUUGACUUUUAGCCUGCUCUCGUGUGUGAUGUUCCUGAGUUCACUGCUUGAUUAUUUGCAGAUAUGGCAAACCGAGAAGAUACUGCCGGUUGUUUUUAUGUACAAGAAUCCCAGCCAUGAAGGAAUCUGAACUAGGAGGAGGAGGCAGGAGUUCCUGGCCACACUCUUUUGUUAACAUCAGGCAUCCACUCUGUCUCCAGGCACAGCUGCAGGACUCUUCAUGUAUAAAUAAAUAACUUGCUUUAAGACAGAUUAUGUUCCUUGGAUAUCAAUCACUGGUAAAUACCGUGUUACUACUUACGAUGUAAGAAUACUAAAUGGAAACUCACGAAGAUUUCAGAUUGCCAUUAUAUUUAUAGUCCUGGGGCUUACUGCUGAGAGCUAUUGGAUGUGUUUGCCUCUGAAUACAGGCUGAAAGCUGCACUGGGAUACUCAUUUCUAGCUUGCCUCUCAGAUUUUCAAAUCAAGGAAAAAAUGAUUAAAAGAGACAGAGGGAUCAAGGUGCUUUAAACUUGUCCAUAUGAAGAGAUGGACUGUCCAAGGAAGG